rnacentral:lncRNA from 1 species
AAAUUUUCAUUACAAGAAAGAUAAUUACAUGAAACAAUUUUUCUAGUCAGGUACUCCAGGAUUGCUGCAGUUAUGGCCAUCCUUGGAUGUCAUCAUCAGUAUCUUCCACUACUGGGCUCUCCAGGAUUGUUGCCACAGCCUUAGAUCCUCAUGUCCAUCUUCUUUGUUCCUCUUGAGUUCACAAGCCGAGGAUGCUACGUCAAACUACAAUAAAGGGUCAGGUACUCCAGGAUCGCUGUAUUUUCUACCUGACCAUGUGGUCAUCUCAAUUGUUGCCCUAAGCCAAGAAACUUCCAGGCAAAAGUGGAACUUGAGCUCGGUGGCCAGCGUUUUUGAUCCCAACUCACCCAUCAAUACUGAAAUAAAAGAGAAUAAAGAAAAUCAUUUCAGAAUUCUGAAAUCAUCCAAUGGUAUAUUUGAUUCGAGGGAGUUGAGAACAGGAAUGAGAACCGAAAUAAAUGACUCCCAUUUUAGAUAUUUGGUAGGAGAGAGUUUCAUUCUCAUUUCGAUUCUAAAAGAAGAUAGGAAUACCUAAAUCCACUAAACUCUAAUCCGAACUCUCAUCUAGUAUUCAAAUCCCAUUUCGAUUCUAAUUUCACUCACGAACCAAACUAGUGGAGAGAUAUGACCAUUCUGGUUCCUAUUCUAAUACAUUCUGAUUUUAAUUUCAAAUCUGUUUGUGAACUAAAUAGAUUUUCAGAAUUUAGCAUGCGCGAGAAAACAAGGGAUUCCUUUACUAAAAAAAUAAGAAAACAAAAAAACAAGUCAUCUUACCUAAAAGCAAAGAGCAAUUGAAAUUAGAGGGACGAAUGCUUGCUGUGAAGCCAAUUUCUUUGUAGAAGUUGUCAAGAUGAGAGAUGGGAGGCCCCUCUCUAGAAAAUAUGUAUAUAUAGACCCCAAAUGACGAAAACUACUUG